AAAAAAAAUCCUGCUGGCGAGUGCGGCGCUGUGUGCGGCUGUGCUGGGGCUCCGCUCUGUGAGGCGGCUCCUCCAUGGGGCGGCCCCGUCCCCGCCGCCGUGCUCCAAGGCUGGCCCUGUGGUUCCCCUUUCUGGGAAGCCGGAGCGGCUCGGGGCGCCGCUGGGGUGGGGGCUGGACGGGGCCGCGGAGGCGGCUGUUGGCAACAGCCCCCUCUCGGGGAAGGGGGAGCUGGAGCUUGCGGCUUCCGCUCAUCCUCCCACGCUUGGCGUCGGCUCUUGCUCAGGGAAACCUCUCCCGGGAACGGGGCCUGGCAGGAUCCUGGCGGUGGGGCUUCUUUCCCUCCUGCUUGUGGGGGCCAGGGAUGGUUGGGGGGAUGGACACGGGGGGCUUGCACCCUGCCCUUGCUGCACGGGGGGUGGCUGUGCCAGAUGUGUCACCCCUCUGUUGCCAAGGGCUGGGCCGGGGUGCUUCCAGGCGGGAUGGAAAUUGCCCUUAUAAGGAGGAUGGUUUUAUUGCAACCACCUGCAGCAGGGCCGGCCGUGGCCCCCUGCUCCUCCCUGCUGGGAUGAGAUCAGCACGGCCGGGGAUAAAGCAUGCGGCUGCGGCGGCAGCGGGGGCCGGAGUGGCACCAGGAGYGAGCCCAGAGCCGAGCCGGCAGCGAGGCCGCCGUCCAGACGCCGCCGCAGCCCGUGCGCCCCGACGGACAGCGCCCUGGCCAUGCCGUCCCUGCCGCUGUCAUCUGCCAGCCUCCUGCUGCUCCUGGUGCUGGGGGGGACCCCGGGCAGCCGGGGGGGGUCCCUGCCGCCGCCCCCUGCCGCCGAGGGCAGUGGCACUGGGUCCCUGCUCUGCGACUACCAGCGCUGCCGGCACCUGCAGCCCCCCUGCACUGAGCUGCGUGGCCGCGGUGGCUGCCUCUGCCCCGGGCUCUCGGGGCCGGGGGUCCCCCCUGAGCCCCCCGAGCUGGUGGCCGUGGUGGUGACAGCGGCGGGCGCCAGCCUCCACUGGUGCGCCCCCGCCUCGGUGGUGCUCGAGUACCAUG
rnacentral:lncRNA from 1 species